CAUCGCUGAUCAUGCAUAUCUCAUGUGAGAACAUCAGAGUUGGAACACAGCUUGAAUGGCUGUGUGGGUGGACGGAGGAGUCCACAUGCUGGGAGGACGAUGACGCUCUUCACCUGAACUCGGGUACUUUAGGUUAGAAGUUACUGCCUAGCAUUGUGGGUUAUAAGUUUUUCAAUGUUGCGUGCUUAAAAACAUUCUGCAAAACUUUGAAGUAGCGUCUCUCAUACAAGAGAACAUACAACAAUACUAAGAACUUGUCAGACGACCCUGCGUGCUUUCAAAGGUAUGGGGAAUGACUUUCUUUUACAGGUAAAAUGUCUCCUCCAUGUGGUUUGAGAUCUUAAGGAAGCUCUUAAAUAUUGCCACGAUGAUGUGAAAUGAGACGACCUUCCCAGUACCUGUCCUCCGCUGUUUUCUGCCUAAAUGAUGUUCACCCUGGUGGCAGGCUCCAAAUCAAGACUCUCCAGCUACUUCUGCUGCUUUGUGCAUUAUACCGUUUCGCGUUCCCUCACCAGCUGGAAGCAGCACGGAAAUGCACGAGGAGCAGAGGAAGGAUGUGGUCCAUCCGGGACAGGCUGAGCUCUUAUGCUGAAGAUCGCCACCCAGUGGGGACACGGGAAAUUCCAGCCCAGGGUGCCCAGCUGUGACCCAAUGAGGAAAAGCCUGUGGAUGGUGACAGAAAGCUGACUAACAUAAGAGUCACUGAAGACUUUCAUCUUUUCUCUAAUAAAAUGGAGUCAGACAUUGUGCUGGCUGGUUUU
rnacentral:lncRNA from 1 species